rnacentral:rRNA from 1 species
UGCGAAGGGGGCGAGCGUUGUUCGGAUUUACUGGGCGUAAAGGGCGCGCAGGCGGCUAUCCAAGUCAGGCGUGAAAGCCCCGGGCUUAACCUGGGAGGUGCGUCUGGGACUGGGUGGCUAGAGUUCGGGAGAGGAGAGUGGAAUUCCCAGUGUAGAGGUGAAAUUCGUAGAUAUUGGGAAGAACACCGGUGGCGAAGGCGGCUCUCUGGACCGAGACUGACGCUGAGGCGCGAAAGCGUGGGGAGCAAACAGG